rnacentral:tRNA from 1 species
GUCCCUGUUGAGCAAUGAAUAGCGCGUUGGACUUUGAAUCCAAAAGUCGUGGGUUCGAAUCUCUCCUGGGAUG